CACAUGCAAGUCGAACGGUAGCACAGAGGAGCUUGCUCCUCGGGUGACGAGUGGCGGACGGGUGAGUAAUGUCUGGGGAUCUGCCCGAUGGAGGGGGAUAACCACUGGAAACGGUGGCUAAUACCGCAUAACGUCGCAAGACCAAAGUGGGGGACCUUCGGGCCUCACACCAUCGGAUGAACCCAGAUGGGAUUAGCUAGUAGGUGGGGUAACGGCUCACCUAGGCGACGAUCCCUAGCUGGUCUGAGAGGAUGACCAGCCACACUGGAACUGAGACACGGUCCAGACUCCUACGGGAGGCAGCAGUGGGGAAUAUUGCACAAUGGGCGCAAGCCUGAUGCAGCCAUGCCGCGUGUAUGAAGAAGGCCUUCGGGUUGUAAAGUACUUUCAGCGGGGAGGAAGGGGACGAGGUUAAUAACCUCGUUCAUUGACGUUACCCGCAGAAGAAGCACCGGCUAACUCCGUGCCAGCAGCCGCGGUAAUACGGAGGGUGCAAGCGUUAAUCGGAAUUACUGGGCGUAAAGCGCACGCAGGCGGUCUGUUAAGUCAGAUGUGAAAUCCCCGGGCUUAACCUGGGAACUGCAUUGAAAC
rnacentral:rRNA from 1 species